ensembl:snoRNA small nucleolar RNA SNORD101
GCAUGACUGAUGAUCCCAUCUUUUGUCGGAUACCCCUUCACUCUACAAUGAGUGAGACGCUCGCCGCUCUGACAUGC